GACGAACGCUGGCGGCGUGCUUAACACAUGCAAGUCGAAUGGAAAGGCCCCCUUGUGGGGUACUCGAGUGGCGAACGGGUGAGUAACACGUGAGUAACCUACCCUUGACUUUGGGAUAACUUCAGGAAACUGGGGCUAAUACCGGAUAGGAGCUCCUGCUGCAUGGUGGGGGUUGGAAAGUUUCGGCGGUUGGGGAUGGACUCGCGGCUUAUCAGCUUGUUGGUGGGGUAGUGGCUCACCAAGGCUUUGACGGGUAGCCGGCCUGAGAGGGUGACCGGCCACAUUGGGACUGAGAUACGGCCCAGACACCUACGGGAGGCAGCAGUGGGGAAUAUUGCACAAUGGGCGGAGGCCUGAUGCAGCAACGCCGCGUGCGGGAUGACGGCCUUCGGGUUGUAAACCGCUUUCGCCUGUGACGAAGCGUGAGUGACGGUAAUGGGUAAAGAAGCACCGGCUAACUACGUG
rnacentral:rRNA from 1 species